CUCGGGCUCCCCACAGUAUGCUUUGGGCAAUUUCAUUGUCCUGGAAGAAAAUUGUAUUGGCGGCCCAGAUGGAGGAUUCGAAGGUGGCUUGGAAGGUGCCGGCAUCUCCACUAUCCUUGAAUAGAUAACUGCAUAAAAGCACAUGGCAAGACAUUAAACCUGUAAACAGUAAUAUUCACAUCAUUUAGUUUAUUAAUAAUUCAAAGAAGAAUGCAUUUUAAUGUUGUAAAGAAUCAACAAAAUUGGCAAUAAAAUCCCACAUAAAA
rnacentral:lncRNA from 1 species